UACCUGCAGCUCGAGUGGUAACCGCUAUUAUUGGGCCUAAAGCGUCCGUAGCCGGUUUGGUAAAUAUCUGGGUAAAUCGUGAGGCUUAACUUCACGAAUUUCGGAUAGACUGCCAGACUUGGGAUCGGGGGAGGUCAGAGGUACUCCAGGGGUAGCGGUGAAAUGUUGUAAUCCUUGGAGGACCACCGGUAGCGAAGGCGUCUGACUAGAACGAGUCCGACGGUGAGGGACGAAGCCCUGGGGCGCAAACCGGAUUAGAUACCCGGGUAGUCCAGGGUGUAAACUAUGUGGGCUUUGUAUUGGAGGUCCCACGUGGGCGUCCAGUGCAGAAGAGAAGUUGUUAAGGCCCACCGCCUGGGAAGUACGGUCGCAAGGCUGAAACUUAAAGGAAUUGGCGGGGGAGCACAGCAACGGGAGGAGCGUGCGGUUU
rnacentral:rRNA from 1 species